UAGACAGGGUGUUUGCGAUAGCAUCCUGUUCUAGGUUGGUUUCUUAGCGAUUAUGGAGGGGUUGGACCCUCCUGGUGUGAGAAGGAAACACAUCAAAACAAAAAACAGGGUUCUGUAACCGGUGCGACAAUAUGCCCUUCCAAGGCACUGACCGGCACGGAUAAAACUUUAUUUGCCUAGUCGUAUAACGGCUAGGCACCCC
rfam:SC59P2=36.5 kda protein [sweet clover necrotic mosaic virus SCNMV, strain 59, Genomic RNA Complete, 1449 nt].